rnacentral:rRNA from 1 species
AGCGUUAAUCGGAAUCACUGGGCUUAAAGCGUGCGUAGGCGGCUCUGCAAGUAUCUUGUGAAAGCCCACGGCUCAACCGUGGAAUUGCUCGGUAGACUGCAGAGCUUGAGCCCGACAGAGGUCGUCGGAACUCUAGGUGGAGCGGUGAAAUGCGUAGAUAUCUAGGGGAACGCCAAAGGUGAAGACAGGCGACUGGGUCGGAGCUGACGCUGAGGCACGAAAGCGUGGGUAGCGAACGGGAUUAGAUACCCCGGUAGUCCACGCCGUAAACGAUGGUCACUAGCUGUUCGGACUUCGGUCUGAGUGGCUAAGCGAAAGUGAUAAGUGACCCACCUGGGGAGUACGUUCGCAAGAAUGAAACUCAAAGGAAUUGACGGGGGCCCGCACAAGCGGUGGAGCAUGU